UGGGGAAUAUUGGACAAUGGGCGCAAGCCUGAUCCAGCCAUGCCGCGUGAGUGAUGAAGGCCUUAGGGUUGUAAAGCUCUUUCGCACGCGACGAUAAUGACGGUAGCGUGAGAAGAAGCCCCGGCUAACUUCGUGCCAGCAGCCGCGGUAAUACGAAGGGGGCUAGCGUUGCUCGGAAUCACUGGGCGUAAAGGGCGCGUAGGCGGACAUUUAAGUCGGGGGUGAAAGCCCGGGGCUCAACCCCGGAAUUGCCUCCGAUACUGGGUGUCUCGAGACCGGAAGAGGUGAGUGGAACUGCGAGUGUAGAGGUGAAAUUCGUAGAUAUUCGCAAGAACACCAGUGGCGAAGGCGGCUCACUGGUCCGGGUCUGACGCUGAGGCGCGAAAGCGUGGGGAGCAAACAGGAUUAGAUACCCCCGUAGUCC
rnacentral:rRNA from 1 species